rnacentral:lncRNA from 1 species
UAGGGUGCGUUUGGUUCGCGCUAUCUUUUAAAGAUUCUUAAUAAUUUAAUGGGAAUAAAAAAAUAUGACGGUUUUUGGCUAAACGCAUGGUUGGUAAUAUUGGAUUCACUUGGGAAUAAGAUUCACCCCAAAGUACUAAUCUCAUUCCGUUGAGGGAGGGUGUGUAUCCUCAUAUUAAUGGAUUAGGGUAAUCAUAAUAUGUCUAAUCUUUUUUUUUUCUUCCUAUCCGCCGGCUAAUUGAUAUUAUUUUUCUUUACACUCUAACCUUAUAUCUCUCUCUAAACUUAUUUUUCUCUCUAAAAUUCAACUUUUUUUUCUCUCUCUAAACUAAGCUUUCUCUCUCUCUCUUUUUAAAAUUUCAACUCUCUCACUCUCUCUAAUUUCGACUAUAUUUUUCUUUCUAUUUUUUUAACUAUACUCUCUCUCUCUCUCUAACUUAUACUCUCUCUUUCUUUUUUCUAAAAAGAUGUUGAAACUUUUGGUAACAUUAUCUAAAAUUAAUUAAUUAAAUUAAAUAAUUAAUUGUAUAUUUUUUGUAAUAUUAAAUAACAUGGCUAAUUAAUAUUACCGUGCAAACCAAACACAGGAAUUCCACAUUCUUAGUAAUAGGAUGAAUAUGAAUAAGAUUCUCGGAUAUCUUUUAAUCCUAGUAAUCUUUCAUAAUGCGAACCAAACGCAUCCUUAAAUUAUUUUAAUUUAUUUGAUUUCAGACAGUGACUGAUUUUUUUUAUUUUGAAAUUUGAAUGUGUUGCUUAUCUUUAUAAAUUUAAUUAAUAUAUUUUAU